rnacentral:miRNA from 1 species
CGUCUCAAGGGACUGUGAAACA